rnacentral:rRNA from 1 species
AGCGAACGCUGGCGGCAGGCCUAACACAUGCAAGUCGAACGAACCCUGCGGGGUUAGUGGCGGACGGGUGAGUAACACGUGGGAACGUGCCUUUAGGUUCGGAAUAACUCAGGGAAACUUGUGCUAAUACCGAAUGUGCCCUUCGGGGGAAAGAUUUAUCGCCUUUAGAGCGGCCCGCGUCUGAUUAGCUAGUUGGGGAGGUAAUGGCUCACCAAGGCUACGAUCAGGAGCUGGUCUGAGAGGAUGACCAGCCACAUUGGGACUGAGACACGGCCCAAACUCCUACGGGAGGCAGCAGUGGGGAAUCUUGCGCAAUGGGCGAAAGCCUGACGCAGCCAUGCCGCGUGGAUGAUGAAGGUCUUAGGAUUGUAAAAUCCUUUCACCGGUGAAGAUAAUGACUGUAGCCGGAGAAGAAGCCCCGGCUAACUUCGUGCCAGCCGCCGCGGUAACAC